rnacentral:rRNA from 1 species
AACGAACGCUGGCGGCAGGCUUAACACAUGCAAGUCGAACGCAUCCUUCGGGGUGAGUGGCAGACGGGUGAGUAACGCGUGGGAACGUGCCCUUCAGUUCGGGAUAACCCAGGGAAACUUGGGCUAAUACCGGAUACGUGCGAGAGCAGAAAGAUUUAUCGCUGAAGGAUCGGCCCGCGUCUGAUUAGCUAGUUGGUGGGGUAAUGGCCCACCAAGGCGACGAUCAGUAGCUGGUCUGAGAGGAUGAUCAGCCACAUUGGGACUGAGACACGGCCCAAACUCCACCGGGAGGCAGCGGGGGGGAAUAUGGGAAAAUGGGCGAAGGCCUGACCCGCCAUGCCCGCGUGGGUGAUAAGGGCUUAAGGGUUGAAAAGCUCUUUCGUCGGGGACUAUAAGGACGGAACCGGAAAAAGAAGCCCCGGCCAACUUCGUGCCAGCAGCCGGGGUAA